rnacentral:rRNA from 1 species
GGGGGAUAAAUUAAUAAAGUAUAAAUAAUAAAAAAAUUUUUAAUAUUAAAAUAUUUUAAUGGGGGUUAAAGUAUAUUUAAUAGAAAAAAUAAAAAAAUUUAUAGAAAAUUAGUAUUGUAAAAGAAAUUUGAAAUAUAUUGAAAAUAAAUUUAUUUAAAAGUAAAUUUAAUUUAUUGUAUCUUGUGUAUCAGAGUUUAUUAAUAAUAAUUUUUAUAUAUAAAAUUUUCUCGAAUUUAAAAGAGAUAAUUAAUUAUUAAAAUUAAUGUUGUAUAAUUAUUUUAAAUAAUUAAUUGGAAAUGAGAUGUUAAUCGUUUUUAAAUAUAUCUAGUUUUUUUAGAAAAAAAUUUAAUUUUAAAUUUUAAAAAGAAUAUAAUUUUAAUUAAUUAAAAUUAUAUUUUUAAAAUUAAAUAUUUUAAGGGAUAAGCUUUAAAAUAAAUUUUUAUAAUAAAUUUUAACAAUAAUUAAAAUUUUUAAAAUUUAUAUUGUUUAUAAAUUAUAAUUUUUUAUAAAUAAUUUUAAUUAAAUUAAAAUUUUAAAUUUAUUUAAUUUUUUAUUAAAAAAUAUUUUUUAAUAAUUAAAAUUUAGAUAUAAUGAUAAAAUUAGUAUAUAAAUGAAUAAAUAAUAUAGUUUAUUAUUUGAUAAUUUAAUAAAAGGAAUUCGGCAAAAAUUAUAUUCACUUGUUUAUCAAAAACAUGUCUUUUUGGUUAAUAAUUUAAAGUCUAAUCUGCCCACUGAUAAUAUAUUAAAGGGCUGCAGUAUUUUGACUGUACAAAGGUAGCAUAAUCAUUAGUCUCUUAAUUGGUGACUUGUAUGAAAGAUUUGAUGAGAUAUAUACUGUCUCUUUUUAAUUUAUAAAAUUUAAUUUUUUAGUUAAAAAGCUAAAAUAUAUUUAAAAGACGAGAAGACCCUAUAGAGUUUUAUAUUUAUAUAAAUUAAAAUUUUUUAUAAACUUUAAAAUUUUAAUUUAUAUAAAUAUUUUGUUGGGGUGAUAAAAAAAUUAAAAUAACUUUUUUUAUAAUUUUACAUUAAUAAAUGAAUAAAUGAUCCGUAAUUUACGAUUAUAAGAUAAAAUUACCUUAGGGAUAACAGCGUAAUUUUUUUUUUUAGUUCAAAUAAGAAAAAAAGUUUGCGACCUCGAUGUUGGAUUAAGAUAAAAUUUAAAUGCAAAAGUUUAAAAUUUUUGAUCUGUUCGAUCAUUAAAAUCUUACAUGAUCUGAGUUCAAACCGGUGUAAGCCAGGUUGGUUUCUAUCUUUAGAUUAAUAAAAUAUUUUAGUACGAAAGGAUCAAAUAUUUAAAAUAGUUUUAUUUAAAAGAAUUUUAAUAAUAGUAGAUAUUUUUAAAUAUG